AGCCCGGCUCUCUUCUUCCGUGAUAUUUUCGUUUCUCUGAUCUCCAUCCGCGGAUUGGGGUACAACAGCAUUAUCCUGCCUCAAUAAUCUAAUUGUGAAUUCCACCGUGAAUUGCCCAGUCGGGAUACGAAGAAAUGGUCCUGAACUGUUGCGCCUCUGCUCAAAAACCCAGCGGACCGCAAGGACACAUCGCAUCAGGAAUAAAGCCAGAUGGGUGAGUCCUAAUCCCAAUGCAAAGCUUAGCCCAAUACCGGCCAAAAGUUGGAUCCAUUUGGUGGUACCAUCGCACUCAGGUUCACACCAGGGAGAAUUUUCAACUAGGCCAGUGACGCUCCAGCCAAAAGAGUAGAAAAUAACAAUGGGGUCGAUAACCAGGUUGAGAACGAGUGGCAUUGCUUUCCGGCGAACAUACAGGCAGACUAAAUUUAGGAAGCUGAUCAAAGCCGUGGCCAUUCCCUAAAGAUAAAUCGGUCAACAAAGGCACAACUCUCUCUAGUUAUCGAGUUCAAAUUGGAGCCAUGCCAGAUCUGAUAUAUUAUCAUAACGGCAAACACAAAAGCGAAGGUUGAGACUGAGAGACCGAUAGAAAGCCAUGUUAAGGCAACAGUUGUACGAUGGAAGAUUGCUGCAGCUGGGUUGCGCGACAAUGU
rnacentral:sRNA from 2 species